GACGAACCGUGCGAACGUUGUUCGGAAUCACUGGGCUUAAAGGGCGCGUAGGCGGGUUCGCAAGUCUGUGGUGAAAGCCUCCAGCUUAACUGGAGAAGUGCCAUGGAUACUGCGCAUCUUGAGGAGGGUAGGGGCGUCCGGAACGGUCGGUGGAGCGGUGAAAUGCGUUGAUAUCGACCGGAACUCCGGUGGCGAAGGCGAGGCGCUGGACCCUUUCUGACGCUGAGGCGCGAAAGCCAGGGGAGCAAACGGG
rnacentral:rRNA from 1 species